GUUACUCAAACUACAUGGGUUGCUUGUACAGUAGUUAAUAGAAGACAAACAACAACAACUUGCAGUUCAAAAGAAUUCAUUGUUAUAUAUUUGUCCCUUCUUUAUACACAAUUCUGGACACAAAUCAAAAACCCCAUAUAAUCAGGAGGAAAGGAACAAAAACAAAAACGAACAAUAAUAAACAAAAAAAAAAAAAUAAUAAUAAUGAUAAUGUAUAGAAAAACAACAAUUGUAAACGACAAGGUUUUUCAUACAGGCAUAAUUAAAUGAACUUAGACAUCCCAGUAAACAAGAUCAGCAGAUCGAGGCUUUCUCCUCCAAACAAAAACACUCAUCAGCGGUCCAGCGAGAAAAAAAAACAAAAACAAAAAAACACAGGAUUAGUAUAUAUUUUUUUCUCUUGAACCACCAAAGUCAUAGAUAUACUGAAAGGGAAAUUAAAUGAAAGUCAGUAAUAUAAAUACAUCGGUCACUCAAAGCGACCCGCGAAUGGGUGGAGGAAGUGCGUGCGAUGAAGUGCGUUAGUGUGUGUGUGCGUGUGUGUGCAAUAUCGCUGACCAUGUCUGGCAGGGAAAAGAUCCUUGGGAGGCAGCGUUUUCUCCGGAUUAGCAAAACCCAACGGAAUGGCGAUCUUCUGGAGCUCCGCAGGGGACAUGCCAGUGCUUUCUUGAACGGCUGAGUUAAGAGCAAAACGAAGCUCAGUUCUUUGAAUAUGGAAGAGACAAACUGAGUUCCCCGGUCAGACAAGAUGAAGUCCGGUACUCCAUAUCGGGUGAGGAUUUCCGUUCGGAGAAUCGUUGCUAUGGUGCUCGCAAUUGCAGUGCGCAUUGGAAAGAGCUCAACCCAUCGAGAGAAAUAAUCCACAAAAACUAGAAGGUAUUCAUGUCUGCGAGUACUACUUGGCAAAGGUCCCAUUAUGUCCACUCCUACCAUCUUGUUGGGUUGCGACACUGUAAUUGGUUGUAGUUUGCCAGCUGGUUUCUGAUUUUCAUAUUUAAGCUUUUGACAUUUUUCACAACACUUGACAUGGUGUUUUACAUCGGUCCACAUUCCAGGCCAAAAAACAACAUGAUGCAAUCGUUUGUAGGUCUUGAAUAUGCCACCAUGACCGCUUAGAGGAUUGGA